UGAGGCACCCAGGCGCCCCUACUCACUUUCCCUUUUUAACCACUAAUUUCUUUACAGACUGAAAGGGUUGGACUAGGUCAUUUCAAAUGUCCUUUCUUGAUAGGGAAAGAGGGAGCAAGGGAAGUAAGAAAAAAUGAAAAGAAGGAAAAUCACUGCUUGGAUUUAAAAAAAAAAAAAAUGAAUACUUAUACCCACCAGUCUUGGUCCUGUCCUGGAGACAGACAAGCCUUCAGAUACUGCAGACACCUUCCCCCACCUCGUUCGUUGUUCGUGCUCACCUAAACUUUUUCCCCUCUAGGUUAUCCCCACUUGAUCCCUCUUGUCAGUGGCUCUCAAACAGUAGAAUCACGGAGAGGAGACUUUAAGAACAAAAAUACGCAGGGCUCUGCUGCUGCUGCUGGAAAUCUGAUAUCAUAGGUGCAUACCUGGGCUUCGUGUUAAAAGGCAGAUUCUAACAGUUGGUUUGGGAUGGAGGCUGAGAGUCCUUGCAAACCUCCAGGUGCUGCUGAGUUGCUGAUCUGAAGACCACACUUUGAGAAGUAAGAAUCUAGGAGUUAUUUAUUAUUCAUGGAAUAAAUAUAUUUUCCUUCAAGUUCCAGCUGCCCUAGUUCACUAAGCCAUUCUUGUCUCCUCCGGAAAGAUUUCUCUGACUCCAGCUCCCCCUGGGUGCUCCUUUUUGUGAACUAUAACUGUUUAAUAAUUCACUGCGUAUUUCAAGUGUGAGGCAGGAAAUGUGGUGUUUGUCUGAUCCUCAUUUCCACUCACCCACCCACAUCUACCUGGAUGCCAAGGACACAGUGUUCCCCCAAUCUCUACUGAUUGGGAGGUAAUAUUAGCUUACAUUCUUGGAGGACAUACCGCGUGCCAGGCACCUUGCUAAGUGUUUUACGUGCAUUGUCUCCGUUACUCAACUACUACUAUCCUUUACAAAGGAAGAAAUCAAGGCAAGUCUCCUGUUUAAACUCUAUAACCACAGCCCACAGUGGUACCGCCCCCUAGGGGAUAUUUUGGAAACUUGCAGGUGCUUUAAUUUGUUACCCCAAUGAGGGGCAGAGCUAGGCUGUGGCAUUUAGUAGAGGAGGGUCAGGGAUACUGGGGUCCUGCCCUGCACAGAAUGUUGCAGCACAAUGAAGAUUAUUAGUGUCCCACAUGGCUUUUAUAUGUCAGGCUGGACAUUUGGGUUAGUUAAAAUGUGCUUCUAAUUACAUUAGAAUCCUAACUCUGUUUUACAUAUAAACACAAAAUAUUUUGCACCACACUGAAUUUUCUGUAAAUGCAACUGUAUACGUCCAGGGAAAAUCGCACUUUGCUCACUGUUUUGGAAAAGCAGGACACUGAAGCCAGUUCCACUCAUGGCCUCUGAGUCAGCAAUCAAUACAUCUGUGCCAGUCGAAUGUAUAACUGCCACACGGGCCCAGUAAUUCCAUGUGUGUACAUGAAUAUUUUUAUUUAGUUCUUAUUUCAAAAUGCCAAAAAAGGUGUCAAUGAUAUUCCAGAGUCUUGUCUUAAAUUAUAAGUAGGUGCAAAUACCUCACUACUUCCCUUUGACUUGUGAGGCAAUUCUGACUAAGCAUCUAUAAAAGCAAAUACAUAUUAGACUUUUUUGGCUUUAUUUUUACUCCUCCUUUAUUAUGAUUAUGUCAUUAUAUUGAUGUAUAAGUGUUAGCUAUGAAAUCCAUUUCUUGACCACCUAGUGAAUAAUACAAAAUAACCAUUCUCAAAAGGGAGCCCUAAGUAUCACAGCCAAGAGGAGCCUAAGAAGACACAACUAAAUGUAACACGGUAUUCUGGAAAGGAUCCCAGAACAGGAAAAAACAUUACGUAAAAACUAGGAGUAUCUAACUAAAGCAUGGGCUUUAGUUAGUAAUGAUAUAUCAAUUAUGGUUCGUUAGUUGUAGCAAAUUUAUCAUACUAAUGUAAGAUGUCAACAAUAGGGGAAGCUGGGUGCAGCAUGUAUAGGAAGUCUCUGUACCAUCCUCUCAAUUUUUCUGCAAAUCUAAAACUGUCCUAAAAAAUAAAUUCUACUUUAAAAAAAAAAAAAAGGUAAAGUGGCAAGAGGAUAGAGGGAGAUCGGAAGGCUUGAGUCUAGAAGGUAGACAUCCUAACCUUGAACUAUGAAUGCCCAUUACAGAAGAGAGACCAUGGAAAAACAAAGUAUAUGAGGUACUUGGAAACUCUAAUACGGUCAUCCAAAGAGAAAUGUUCACCAACAAUGGCAAGAAAGAUAGAACAGGACAAGAAUUAAACUAAUAUUUGUAAUAUUAAGCCUCUUCCACUGGCUUUUACCAGAAUGUAUUCUUAGUAUCUUUAAGGAUUUAAGAAAUUUUACAAAUUUUGUGAAAUCUCAAAUUUUCAAAUCACCAGGCUUCCACCAGGACAUUUGGGAAAGGCACAUUUGGGUAAGAGCUUAUAGACAUAUAACUUGACUGUUGAAAGAUGAGAAGUUAAGUGAUGGCUUCUUUUUUAUUCUUAUCUAUUCUUUUUUGUAAUUUCAGUAAAUGUCUUUAGAUCCCUAAUCCUAGAAAUACACACAGAGAAGAAAAGCCAAGAAGCUGAAGGAAACAAAUGAGGCAGGAAGGGCCUCAGCUGGCACGGAAGUCACAGUUAAUCUUGCUGGAGCCACCUGCUGAGGGUCAUGAGUCCUAAAAUGCUCCACUAAGAGUCCACUUAGUCACCACAACCCUAUAAAGCACGUAUUAUCAGCAUCCCUUCGUUGAAGAUAAGGAAACUGAAGCUCAGGUUACAUACCAUUACCAGCGGACCCAGCAGUGGAGCUCCAAGGACAGUGCCCCUAACCACUGUGCUACAAGGCCACUAUGGAAGAAUCCAAAGAUGACCAAGAGGAUGGCUUCUAUACCUGAUUACCCUACAUCAUAUUUUAGAUUAAAGUAUACUGUUUUUAUUUCGUUUGCAUGUAGACUUUGGAAACGCAACUACAAACAUAUUAUUCACCUUUUUGAAGUCUUGGAGAAAUGAACAUGACAUUUAGAGCUACUUACUGCGCCUUACAGUAAACUGUCCCAUGACAGAGUAUCUAAACUGAGCGUGAGAGUCAACCCAGAACAGCAUUUGUAUAGAAGGACCCUAAGAUGUUUUCUUGGAAAGUGAGAAGUGUCUGUAUGUAUGCUUGCCUGUAGGUGUGACUGUUAAACUAUAAACUCCCUUCCCCAUACAAAAAUUAUAAAUGAGGGCAUUAGUAUGGAACAUUUGGAGAAACACCGUAUCAGUAGGAAGCAUUAUGAAGAGGCUUGGUGUGCAAAAUAUUGUAAUAUUAAGACAUACAAAAGAAUUGUUAAGUGCUAGUUCCGCCUUAAAGGGACUCACAUUCUAAACAGGAUGGUACAGUCCUGCACCCCGCCCACCUUAGCCAUGUGCUUUCUCCAAGUGUGUCUCCACUCAGUCUGCAUGUUACAAUCACCAAUUUGUCCUGCUUUGUAGGGAAUAAUUCCUGGUUUUAGCACUGAAAAAUCUGAGUCCUGGGAAACCCCCUCAGUGGGUCACCUUACUGGGAUGCUUCUAAAUAUCCUGCUGCCCAAACCAAUCCCCUGCCCAGUUGAAUCAGGCUGUCGGGUUUCCCCGGCACAUCCAGCCCUCAUUGUACGAUCCCGACUGCCAAAGUCCGCCUGGCCCAAAUCCUCUGGGCUCUUCAGACCGCUGAGUGGCAGCAAGCAAUCCUUCCCUUCAGGGGGGCGCUGGGCUUCACAUGCUGGCAGAUGGGGCCCAGCACCACUCACAGUGUUUCCGGACCUGGUAGCAGUGCGUCAGCACACAUGUGAUGGUGAGGACAGCCAGAACCACGAUGGAGAAUAUCACCAAGGCGGUGAUGGCCCGCUUUUUCUGGUUGGCAGCCACCAUGGCCAGGAAGGUUUUGGAAGGAACUCCCCCACCCCACCCCACCCCACCCCCAAAA